rnacentral:lncRNA from 1 species
CUCAAGUCCCUGACACCACCUCCCUCACGCUUGCCUUUUCUUGUCUGGACAGGCAGGCUGACUGUUUCUAGAAAAUGCCAUCACCACCAAGGGCUGGGGGGUGUGUGCUGAGCAUGAGGACAAAGCUGACAUGACAGAGCAAUUAGAGAAUCAGCUUCUGGAAUCAGUGGCUAUUAAACAUCUGCAGCCCAGACAGCAUGCCCGUGAUUAAUCCUGGCCAUAAGGAUGAUUCAGGAUGAAACUGCGAAGCAGAGCAAAACCUUUUUUCUGCCUCCUUCAACUCAGUGGACUGAGCUCCUCUGUGGAUUUCACUCCAGGGAGCCGUGGAAGAGCUGGCCUGUUCUCAUGGAGCAACCUGCAGGAAGACAUAACAAAGACUAACAGAACUCUGAAGUAGAUGACCUGCAGCCACAUUAAUAAUUGAUCAUGUUAGCAGUUGAUGAGUUGUGCUAAAUUGAUCUGUGGCGAGAUAAUGUGAAUUAAAAGCUGCUUAAAUAUUUAGUUUUGGGCUCUUUCUAAAUGGCAGGAAUUUGAACUAAAGGCUACACAGGAGUCAUGACUGGAAUCAACUUUUCAAUGCAGAUGGAUGCCAUUAGAAAGGUUUUUACUUCGAAUGUGUGCGGCUUGUCCACAUGGCUGAGAUUAGUGCUCAAUGCUCAUAUAAUGCUUUUCAUCCUCCAAAGGACUUUACAAGCUCCAGCCCUCAAAACACCCCCACAAGGUA